rnacentral:rRNA from 1 species
UACGUAGGGCGCGAGCGUUGUCCGGAAUUAUUGGGCGUAAAGAGCUCGUAGGCGGCUUGUCACGUCGGGUGUGAAAGACCGGGGCUUAACUCCGGUUCUGCAUUCGAUACGGGCUAGCUAGAGUGUGGUAGGGGAGAUCGGAAUUCCUGGUGUAGCGGUGAAAUGCGCAGAUAUCAGGAGGAACACCGGUGGCGAAGGCGGAUCUCUGGGCCAUUACUGACGCUGAGGAGCGAAAGCGUGGGGAGCAAACGGG